GUCACGAUAGCUCAAGUGGUAGAACAGCGGCGUGUCAAGCCGAAGAUCGUGGGUUCGAAUCCCGCUCGUGCCA
rnacentral:tRNA from 1 species